rnacentral:snoRNA from 1 species
UGCCAUUGCUAAGUCAAGGCUUCUUCCCGUGCAUAUUAUUUUUGCCACUUUAUCAAUGGAAGUAUUUUGUCUGUUACAGCUUUGGUAGAUUGAUUCUUGCCCGCCGCCCUGGUUUCUUUCUGAAAUCGGGGUUGACAAGCAAUCGUUUUGAGAGCUCCGUCGUAUAGGGCAUGCUGUGUCUUGUUUUGAGUUGAGUUCUGCUUCCGCUUCAUCUGCGGCAUCAUAGCAGUUCUCUUAGUAACAUCUCACACAUCC